rnacentral:lncRNA from 1 species
UUAAGGUGGUACCCAACACCUUCACUAAAAUUAAUUUGGCUCGUUUAAUUUUCAUAAAAUUUUGGCAUAGUAUUUACUUUGACCCUUUGACAAAAAUGUAAAAAUUUCAAAAAAUUUGAACCAACCAUUUUAUCAGAAAAAUUACACUGGUUAUAUAGCAGUUUGACAAACACUAAUUUUGAUCAUUGAGAAGCUGAAUAUUCCCUUAACAACACAACUUAAUUAAAACGUUUAGCUGAUUUUACAGAGUUAUCUCCCUGUAGUGUUAGGUACCACCUUAAAUACAUU